rnacentral:rRNA from 1 species
AUUGAACGCUGGCGGCAGGCCUAACACAUGCAAGUCGAGCGAGCGGCGGACGGGGGAGUAAGGUCUGGGAAACUGCCUGAUGGAGGGGGAUAACUACUGGAAAAGGGAGCUAAUACCGCAUACCAUCAGAUGUGGCCAGAUGGGAUUAGCUAGUAGGUGGGGUAAUGGCUCACCUAGGCGACGAUCCCUAGCUGGUCUGAGAGGAUGACCAGCCACACUGGAACUGAGACACGGUCCAGACUCCUACGGGAGGCAGCAGUGGGGAAUAUUGCACAAUGGGCGCAAGCCUGAUGCAGCCAUGCCGCGUGUAUGAAGAAGGCCUUCGGGUUGUAAAGUACUUUCAGCGAGGAGGCGUUACUCGCAGAAGAAGCACCGGCUAACUCCGUGCCAGCAGCCGCGGUAAUAC